rnacentral:rRNA from 1 species
AUUGAACGCUGGCGGCAUGCCUUACACAUGCAAGUCGAACGGCAGCACGGGUGCUUGCACCUGGUGGCGAGUAGCGAACGGGUGAGUAAUACAUCGGAACGUACCUUAUCGUGGGGGAUAACGCAGCGAAAGCUGUGCUAAUACCGCAUACGCCCUGAGGGGGAAAGCGGGGGAUCGAAAGACCUCGCGCGAUUAGAGCGGCCGAUGCCUGAUUAGCUUGUUGGUGGGGUAAAAGCCCACCAAGGCGACGAUCAGUAGCUGGUCUGAGAGGACGAUCAGCCACACUGGGCCGGAGAAACGGCCAAGACUCCUACGGGAGGCAGCAGUGGGGAAUUUUGGACAAUGGGGGCAACCCUGAUCCAGCAAUGCCGCGUGAGUGAAGAAGGCCUUCGGGUUGUAAAGCUCUUUUGUCAGGGAAGAAACACCGGCUCUAACACAGUCCGGGAAUGACGGUACCUGAAGAAUAAGCACCGGCUAACUACGUGCCAGCCGCCACCGUAA